CUAAAGAGUCAUAUCGUGGGGAGUUUAUUGUGUCGUUUUGGUCUCUUAUCCUGACAUCCAGUGGUAAUGUUUGAAACCACAGCAUGUGCUGAGGCAUGGGAGUACGGCGAAC